UUUUUUUUUUUUUUUUUUUUUUUUUUUUUUUUAGAAAGGCAGAACUGUUCUGUAUGUCGGCUGCAAACAGUGUGGGUUUAAUGUGGAAAUGGCAUGUCAUGGUACUAGUAGUAGGCUAUAAGAUCUUGCUUUAUUCGAAUGGCGCACACAAGUCUGAUUUCCUCAGGUGAAUCUCAUAUCAUCUCAAAAUGCCCCUUCUUUCAUUCAAAUGCGUCUUUCUAAAUAACUGUUCUUUCCGUAAGAAUUCCAACCCCCCUUUCUAAAACAGAAAUUAUAAGUUUUUCUCUUUUUUUUUCACACGAUGAUCCUCAGCAUCCUUCAGGAACGCACAGACUACCUUCCUCCCUUCUCGCACACAUCCAACCAUGCUAUCCAAAAGGCUUGAUAUAACCCGCCCUCUACCCUUCUCUCAAGUCAAUUGUAUCUUUCCACUUCACUGAAAUUAAUAUACACUCGCCCCGCUCUCCUAUUACUGAGUACACAAAGGACACUGUGCCCGCCCCUAUAGUGUUUGUCUUUCCGUGGUUUCUUCGUCUGUGUUAUAUCAUCAUCAUCGGAAAAUAUCUGCAAAAGUGUUUAUAUUCAAUGUUUAAGGAAGGACUGUGUUUAUACUGUUCAUUUUUUUUUUUUUUUUUUUUUUUUUUUAAGGAUACCGUGUCAUGGUUUAGUGUUCCCGUUUUCAUUAUUUUUAAUUAUUUGAAAUGCUCCCGUUUUCUUCUUUGAUAGUCCCGUUUUCUUUGUUCUGUCAUCGGAGACUAUGAGUGAAAUUAAUCGUGUGAAGUGUUUUGAGUGUAUUUAUUUGUGUAUAAACGGAUAAGUAAAUAUAUCGCAUUAUUCGUGUGCAAUAGUUUAUCAGUGUUUUUCAUGUGCUAUGAUUUUUUUUUUUUCGUUCUGUUGAAUUUUAUAAUACGUGAUCGUGUGUAUAACUGAUUAAAAGUGGUGUUAUAAUUGAAUAUAAUUUGGCUUUGUGUACUGUUUCCAUAUGUAUACGUAAAAGAAAAUAUUUCGAGUGAAUGAAACAGCAGCGAAUGAAAGAAAUAAUGAAAGGUGAUAAAACAAGAAAGAAAAGCGAAAAAAAGAGAGAAAAAAAAAUUAAAAGUGUUCUAGCAGAAAUGAUUGUAUGAAAUAUUUUGCCGAGGAAAAUGUAGAUAAAUAAUGUUCAGUGAUAGUGUUAGAUCCAUGUGCAAUAUUGAAAUCCUUUGUACGGUCAGCGUGAAACUACAAGGCGAUUAUUUACAAAGGAAUCAGGAAAAAGUGUGACAAGCUGUUAGCGAGUGACGUAAUUAAAAAAAACGAGGUUAUAGAAACUUUUUUUACGUAUUCUAAAUGGUUAUUCCAGAUGUUACAUUUUAUUGUCAAAACAAUAUAUAUUUUUAUAAUAGAGAUUUUUUUUUCUUUGUUCUAUGGAUGAUAUAUUUUUGGCAUUGUUGAUGAAUAUUUUCGUGAUUCUGUAUACAAGAUUUGAAUAUAUGAUAUGUUUCUAGUUUAAUUUAAUAUUGUAUGCCGUUUUUAUUGAAGUGUAAAUGUGUCAAUUUUACGUUCAGACUUAUGAGAAGUUAAAAGCUGUACGAACAGUAUGUAUAAACUCUAUUUGGAUUCGUUUUAAUUUUGUAUAUAAUGAAUACAUUCUACAUUUCAUUGGUAUAGUAAAUCGAUCGAUAUUAAUGUCUUGUAAAUCAAAUGAUGUAGUUUAUUCAACUUUUAUAUUUUGCGCUGAAAUGACACAUAGGAGAACGGAUUUUAACACUGCUUAUGUCUUGUGUAAAUGUUGAGUUCUCUGUACAAA
rnacentral:lncRNA from 1 species